UUUGGCAGAAAUUGCGGUACCAGAAGUGAUGUGUGACACAGAGCAUUGUCAUGGUGGAGGAUGAAACCAUUUGCUCAUUUCUCAGGCCGUUUUCUACUCACAUCGUUUUUUAAACACUCUAAUAAGCCCUUAUAAAAUUUAGAGUUCACCAUUGUGUUCCUGGGUACAAACUCAGCUCGCUCAAUUCCAUCAAGGUUAAACAACGCAAUUAACGUCUUGAUAUUAUGAGUAGCACCAUUCACCAUAUUUUUUUUAUCAUACCUUGAUACAUAUAUAUAAUACACUUGAAAUAUUUGACUUUGUUAAUUGCUGUUUAAUUGUUUAAUUUAAAAAAUAUUAAUGGAAACUUAUUUACUUGGUUGUUUAUGGUGAAACAAGGGUGAACUUUCCCAACUGUCUAGCCUUCUACCAGGUAUGUACCUAUGUAUUCAGUUCUACACCCACUCCCUUUUAAAGACCUUUCAAAGAUCCAGCUUUUUUUUUUUUUGCAAGGGAGAGGCAUAUGGUAGACAUAUGCCUCUGAGUUAAUAUCCAGUAGCCAUUCUCAUUUCUUAGUAAGAGAAGACUUAUUUUGGGAGGAGGGAGGGUGAAAGGUGGGUAAUGCAGCCACCUAAAAUGCUACACAUCUCUGAGUCUUCUUGCAGCUACGUGUGUCCAUGUGGGAAAGUCCUAGCUAGUGCGAUUUAUUCAGAAAUGUUGUAUGGGACUUUAAAUAAAGUUGUUGAGUCAGCUGUGAGGUGUGGAUUUUGCAGCAUUUCUCUUGUCAGAAAUCAAAUGUGAUAGUUGAAAGUCCAGCCACCAUCUUGGAACAAGAGGUGACUUUGAAGAUGGAAGCCAGGCUAGAAUAAUGCAGCAGCAAUACGCCCGAGGUCUUUAUGAUCACAAUGCAGCUAUCCCAGCCCUAGACUGCUCUCCUCUAGGCUAUUAUAUGACAGAGAAAUAAAUUUCUCUCUCCCUUAAGCUACUGAUACUUAAGCUUUUCUAUUAUAGAUAGCUGUAUGGAAUCUUCAUAGAUCUAGGGGAACUGUAUUUCUGUGCUCCCAGAAGUGGGUCUCCAUCUGGGACAGUUUAAACGAGAGUUCAGCAAAGACUUAAGGGCAGGGAGCAUGUGAAUGGAUGGGUCUCUUGUUGAAUGAGCAAUGGUCAAAGUGCAGUCAACAGUGAGGGUGUUGUUGCUUCUCUGCCAGGGACAAGAUGAUGAGCUCAUAGGAAUAGUGAGCGAUGGUCACCAGGUGCUGGCUGGCUUCUGGAUGUAAGCAUUCGUCCUCUUGAAAGGAUUAUAAACUCUGUUCUAUUUCCCUCAAUGCUUCUAUUCUUAAAAGCUAGGGAGUCAAAAAUAAUAUUAUAAAUAGUUUCUUUCUCUUUAAUUCCUGUUCUAACUAUCUUCAUUCUCUGGUCAAUAUGAUUGCUUCUGACUGAUGGGUGGGAAGGUCAGGAAGUAGGGGAGAGGAAGACACAAGGAUUAAUAUUUAUGAUAUUAUCUCACUAUAAGUACCUGCCACCAGGGAGCUUUCUAACAUUGUGGUAAUAUGGAAAAAAAAUUGCACAAGUAAAUCACAAUCAGUGUAGUUUCUGUUCAUUUUUUUUAAUGCUAACAAAAGGAAAAUAUCCAUCAAAUCUCCUAAAUAUUAUAUUGAGCAUACCUAUUUUAAGAGAACAUUCUUAAAAGGAGAAACUAUGGUACAGUAGCUCUUGUCAAAGUUAGUAGGUCAUUAUCAACAUUUAGUAGAUCAUUUUAUAAAGGACAGCCAGCUAUUUGAGUAUAAAGCUUUGCCUGUUUACCAUCCUCUUGGAAGCUACUUGUAAUCACACUGCUUCCUAUACUUUUGGUGGCAUUCCAAGUGAAUAAAAGUAUUGUUUUCCCUAAGGAGUUCAUUGUAGAAUUCUUAAUUUCUUUCUUACAGGGUUUGCAGCUGGAGAUGUCUUAUAGCAAACUCUUUACACUGAGAAUGUUGCAAGAGCCAACAGUGCAGCGUGUCCAUGAGAUGGUGGGGAGGUCACAACUGCUCUAGUUAUUUCAUUCUUCCAGUCCUGAUAAGAGCUUGAGUGGAACUGGGUGUCCGGAAAUUCUCUUUCCUACUCUGGGUGUCAAGCCUUCAGCAGAGGCUCGUCUGCAGCCAGGGUUUGUACCUGGAGAGGGCUCACUCGCUCCACUAGCUGCUGCCCAUUAGCGCAGAAUCCUCAUGUCACCUGUCCUUCCUUCCAUCAAAAACCCAGCGGGUGUGUAGAAGAGCCAAACGUGAAAUAGCAAGAACUGAGCUCACCUUCUGCAAGCAGGAUUCAGAACUGAACGGGCUAUUAAAAUGAAAGAGCAUGAACAGUGCAACUCUGGGUAACCAGGGAAUAAUGCCUGCCUAGAAACUGUAUGUGUGUGAGCAAGACUUAUUUUUAUCUUCCUGCUAUUGAAAAGCAAUAUGAAAUUGCCAUACGCAUUGAUCUAUGAGGAUGUAGAAUCCAUACAUUGUAUACAAGGCAGUCAUUUGGUGUUGCCUAGGUACCGAUGUGGACGUUUGUAUAAGUACACACAUGUAUACAAGCAGUGAAUUAUUUUCAUUAACCUUCAAAUAAUUUCGUUAUAGGGAGAGAAUAUCCGUGAUCUAGCAGGCUUACUGAUAAUGCUUCCUUAAUGUGUUCUGGCGAAUGAAGCAUUUAGGAGUCAAUCUUUAUAAUGAUAGCCUGCUUCUGGCUACAUGCCCAUUCACAGAGUUAGAAUUUAUAGCAAAUGCUUUUUCUUUUAAAAUAUUUAGGUGUUCAAUUAAAGUUUGUUGAUAUCACCAUGCUAAGUAUUCUUUCUGAAAAUUUUAUUGAACUAUAUAGUCUGAAUUAUUUAAAAUGUUAUUCUUUGAGCUGUGUUAACAUCGCCUUAGCUAGUCACAUCCUUUUUCUUUUUCUUUUUUCAUCCAUUUUUAACUUGUUGUUUUUAAAUAUUACUUCUUAAACUUUUUAUCUUUGAGCACAUUGAAUCCUGCUUUAUUUGUUUUCCUCUGGUUUUUCUGGAGGGAGCUGGCUUAUUGUUAGUUUUUGGUAUGUUGUUGAUGAUGGCAGCAAGGGAGUCUGGGUACAGGGUGACAGUGGCAGAAAGUGCCCACACCUUGGAGGGGGGACGAGAUUGAAACUAUCCACUUCCCCAAAUGGGCCUCCUUUUUUGUCUUCUUUCAUUUCGCACUCCCUUAGUGUAGGUUCUCCACACAAUCUCAGCCCGGGUGAUUUAAGAAUCCCAUAGACUAGGAAGGUUUUUCAAGGCAAAAGUAUCUCAUUUGUUCAAACAGCACACUUGAAUUCCCAUGGCCUUAGGCAGCCUUCAGUUUACAACUCACAAAACAGCAACUAUUUAUUGAACAGCGAUUGUGUGCUGACUGUGUGCCAUAUAUUUGCUGUAAACUAGAUAUCCAGAACUCAGAAAGCCUUUACCCAAAAACAUUGCCAUUCUUACAUCUACGUUCCUAAGUGAGUCAGCAAAAGCCCAGGGAAUGUGGGCCAGCUUAACAACUGUUUAAUUAAUCCUUCCCCUCCCUUCUUUUAUUUAAAAGCAAACAAACAAAAAGUCCUGGCAUACUGAAUCUCUUUCUGUAUACAGUUACAGAUACAGACACCAAUGCCUUUUAGUAUGUAUUUUGUUUUUAGUGAAGCUGAACAAAUUAAUGAGCAUCUCCCUAAAAUGGCCUAAAUGGGAGAUCAUCAAAAGAUUCCAGAA